GAUGAACGCUGGCGGCGUGCCUAAUACAUGCGAGUCGAGCGAACAGACGAGGAGCUUGCUCCUCUGACGUUAGCGGCGGACGGGUGAGUAACACGUGGAUAACCUACCUAUAAGACUGGGAUAACUUCGGGAAACCGGAGCUAAUACCGGAUAAUAUAUUGAACCGCAUGGUUCAAUAGUGAAAGACGGUUUUGCUGUCACUUAUAGAUGGAUCCGCGCCGCACUAGCUAGUUGGUAAGGUAACGGCUUACCAAGGCGACGAUGCGUAGCCGACCUGAGAGGGUGAUCGGCCACACUGGAACUGAGACACGGUCCAGACUCCUACGGGAGGCAGCAGUAGGGAAUCUUCCGCAAUGGGCGAAAGCCUGACGGAGCAACGCCGCGUGAGUGAUGAAGGUCUUCGGAUCGUAAAACUCUGUUAUUAGGGAAGAACAAAUGUGUAAGUAACUAUGCACGUCUUGACGGUACCUAAUCAGAAAGCCACGGCUAACUACGUG
rnacentral:rRNA from 1 species